rnacentral:rRNA from 1 species
AUUGAACGCUGGCGGCAGGCCUAACACAUGCAAGUCGAACGAGUGGCGGACGGGUGAGUCAUGUCUGGGAAACUGCCCGAUGGAGGGGGAUAAAUCCUGGAAACGGUAGCUAAUACCGCAUACCAUCGGAUGUGCCCAGAUGGGCUUAGCUAGUAGGUGGGGUAACGGCUCACCUAGGCGACGAUCCCUAGCUGGUCUGAUAGGAUGACCAGACACACUGGAACGUAGACACGGUCCAGACUCCUACGGGAGGCAGAAGUGGGGAAUAUUGCACAAUGGGCGCAAGCCUGAUGCAGCCAUGCCGCGUGUAUGAAGAAGGCCUUCGGGUUGUAAAGUACUUUCAGCGAGGAGGCGUUACUCGCAGAAGAAGCACCGGCUAACUCCGUGCCAGCCGCCGCGAUAAUAC